UUAUACCCAUUUGAAGGAAAAAGUAAUUAAGUUCGAUAUGAACAGAGAGAAAAUGCCACUGGGCUGCGAGCAUUUUCACAUAAUCCCUUAAUGAAAGACAUUCUUUAGGAUCUUAAUCGAACAAAGUAGGUUAAGACGUUUUGCAGGCGUUAACUGUGAAGAGUGGAUGCUGAUGACGCAUCAACUAGGGUGGCAACGCGGGUGAACUCUCGUCCCUUUU
rnacentral:ncRNA from 1 species